UUUAUACAUGCAAGUCGAACGAUGAAGUUCCUUCGGGAAUGGAUUAGUGGCGAACGGGUGAGGAACACGUGAGGAAUCUGCCCAUCAUUUUGGGAUAACACCGGGAAACCGGUGCUAAUACCGAAUACUCCGUCUUGGCGGCAUCGCUAAGCCGGGAAAGAAUUUCGAUGAUGGAUGAUCUCGCGGCCUAUCAGCUAGUUGGUGAGGUAACGGCUCACCAAGGCAACGACGGGUAGCCGGCCUGAGAGGGCGACCGGCCACACUGGGACUGAGACACGGCCCAGACUCCUACGGGAGGCAGCAGUAGGGAAUAUUGGGCAAUGGGCGCAAGCCUGACCCAGCGACGCCGCGUGAGGGAUGAAGGUCUUCGGAUUGUAAACCUCUUUCAGUAGGGAAGAAGCGAAAGUGACGGUACCUAAAGAAGAAGCACCGGCUAACUAUGUG
rnacentral:rRNA from 1 species